GUCUAAAACUGGAUAGCUCAGUUGGUUGGAGCACAGUGCGAACAACACCACGGUCACAGGUUCAAUCCCUGUACAGGACA